rnacentral:rRNA from 3 species
GGGUUGUGAGGUUAAGCGACUAAGCGUACACGGUGGAUGCCCUGGCAGUCAGAGGCGAUGAAGGGCGUGCUAAUCUGCGAUAAGCGCCGGUAAGGUGAUAUGAACCGUUAUAACCGGCGAUACCCGAAUGGGGAAACCCAGUGUGACUCGUCACACUAUCAUUAACUGAAUCCAUAGGUUAAUGAGGCGAACCGGGGGAACUGAAACAUCUAAGUACCCCGAGGAAAAGAAAUCAACCGAGAUUCCCCCAGUAGCGGCGAGCGAACGGGGAGGAGCCCAGAGCCUGAAUCAGCAUGUGUGUUAGUGGAAGCGUCUGGAAAGGCGCGCGAUACAGGGUGACAG